UCCUGUUUCAAAGCGUUCUGGAUUGCUCACCAGAGUCUAUAAUUAUUUCCAUUAUAGCUUUUGGGAGAUCAAAGAAAACUUUGCUAUGUGUCAGGGCCUGUAGGUAUAGGUUAUCUUUUACUGCAUGAAGUUUAUCUCAUGUACCUGUGUGUUUCCAGUGUUUUGAACUCCAAUUCAAGAUGUUUUAAUGCUCUUCCAGCCAUUUGGAAUUUCUCAAGAAGUUUCAAUUAGCCAUAAUGCCAAAGCACAUUGGAGCACAACAUCUCUCAGUAACAGCUGUUUGUGCCAAAUCAUUAACUGUCCAAAAAUUUGCUUAGGUUUAGGUAAAGAUAAAGCUGGCAUGGAGGGUUUGUCAGUGUAGGCAUGGCCUAUUUCAGAUCCAUAUGCAUGCUUCCUAUGGAUCACCCUCCAAGGUGUUGGGUGGUGUAAAUGCACCACCACCAAAAUGUAUCCAAAUGCCUAGAAGAUGCUCAGACUACAGGUUUGUGCAGUUUAUCUACAUGAAAUACAAACCUUUUCCAUACCACAUGGAGCUCCUUAAAGGAGCUGGGGAAACAUGAGAUUUGCUUUCACUUUUGGGUAGUCCGCAGCGAGGCAGGAGUAGUGGCCCUGCAGAGGGUUUUGGUUGGGACCAGCAAUGUAUUGCCUAGUUCAGUCUCUCAAAUUAGUCAUACAAAGGUCUUUCCCAUUUCUCAGCAUUGAAGAAGAGAAAGGUGGUAAUAAUCUGAUAGCUCAAGUUUGAACUAUAUAAAAUGUUGAUUAAUGUUACCAUGGAGCCCACCUGGCAGAUUGAAUACUUGAUUGUAAAAUUAACUGUUCAAUAAAAGACACUUGACCUUUCUAAGAAAUAAAUUCUAUUUAGGAGAACAUACUCAUUAAUGCAUGUCAAGUGAAAAGUCCCUCUAGCACUGCUCCAUGGUGCAUCACUCGUAACAUGUGGUCACAGGUCUGCUGUCAGGUCUUUUGUCAUGAGAGGCUGGAUUCAGGAAGGGUUUCUGUGUUCAUGAAACUCAGGUUUUUAUUGGAGGUAUUUUGGUCUUGUGAGGAUGCAGCACUGAUUGAUUUGGUAUGCUGGCAAUGUUAAGGAAUUUUAACUUUGUGGUAAAGCACACAAGGAACAUGAAAUCUAAGAAGCCCAGCUCAAUGGUCCUAAAAGAGCCAUCUGGUGACCUCAUUUAUUAAUUUGAUGAAAAAACAAAGACAUGACGUUUUCAAUUAAGAGGAAUGUUUGGCUGCCCUGCCAGAAUUGGUUUUGGGGGAUAAGUAAGUACAAGUUAAGCUGAUAAUAUAAUCCUAAUACUGAAACUGGAAGCGCUGAUGUAGAUUGAGUGUAAAACAGAACAAGUAACUUGGAGGGCCUCUCAGAGAGGGCUAGACUGUAAAAAUUGUUUGAAGUAGGCAAAGUGUGUUUAAGUGAUGUAUUUACAGGGAUAAUUCUGGAGAUUUCCUUGGCAAAGUGCCUCCACCCAUUCCAACAGACACUAUUUAAAUAGUAAAGAAAUUGGUAUAUCUACCGAUAGGUACCAAACUAAUGCUGAUCUUUUUUAAGUACCUUCUCCUUUUGUUGCAGAAAGAAAUGACUGGUGAUGAUGUUUCAUGGCAAAAGAAAGCUGUCUGCUCUUUGUGUAAUUUCUGUUACACAGACAGCAAUAUCCUUGUUGCCCAUUUUGAAUGGCUGCUUCAUGGAUUUUGUCCUGCUAUGAAUCAGAAUUUUCUCUAAUAGUUUUCAUCUGCCCAAGAAGAAUUUGGCUCUUUGUGCUGAGAUAGCUGGAUAUUAAGUAGAUUUUGCAAUGGGAGACCGUAAAGAAUCUGUUUCCCCAUAAUGCAGGAUGUGAGGCUGAGAUGACAUUGUGCAAACCACAGUUAUUUUCCAAAUUGUGUCUUCCAUGUGGUGAAUUCCUUGCACUGGCAGCAGAUAACCCAUUGGUGCAGCCACCAAGAGAAAUGGGGCAGAAACCCUGUGCCAGCUGGUGACCAUUGCUGCUGAGUGUGGUACCCCAUACUGGGUGGGAUGUGUUGAAAAUAAGGGCUCAUCAGUUAGACGGUGUUUGGGUGAUGGAAUUAUUGAAUCCUCCGAACUCUUAACAGCUACUUAUAGCCUCUUUCAGCAGCAUAAAGCCAAAAUCUUACUGUGCUGUGAUCACUUAUGUCACCUCUCUCAUUUUGUCAGAAUAAAAAGAAGAUUCUAGCUAUUCUGGCCCUGGUUUUGUGCUUGAAUUGCCCUCACUACAGUUCAGAGCUGACAUGCUGCCUGCAAAGUCCUCCAGUAUUAUUAAAAGCCACAGCAAAUUUAAAUGUAAAGUGGAGGUGAUGGAAGAAUGAAAUUACAUGUGGAGUUUGGGGACUGUUACUUUAAGUAAUUACUAUCUACCUGUGUAAAUCCCUUUGAACUGCCUUUUGGAUUAAGUAUUCCUUACUCCUCUAAGUCUCUUGUUUAAUAUUCAUGUGUGUUUUUAAACAGCUGCUGCAUCCUGUCCAAGAAUAAAAAGGGGGAUGCAAUUCAGUAGCAAACCAAAUGAUACUUAGAUAUAUCCCAUGCAUAUUUCAGAGCAGCAGUUAAUUAAUAUAUAUCAAAUGCACUAAAAUUCUUGAAUGAGAAACUCUGUGGUUGUGCAAAGCAUAAUUUAUUUAUUUCAAGCUCUUACCUAGCCAUUUUGACCAUUUACUAAAUGCACUUGAGAGCAAGCACAUAACUUGCUAUAAUACUGACUUGAUUUCUUUUCUUUAAAUGGGAACAGAAUCAGAACACACUUUCCAACAGUAAAAUAAUUGCAGAAAUGUAGGUGCUCUACUUAACCUAAGAAAAAAAGCUCUUCACUUAAUUAGCUGCCUGGCAUUUUGCGAUGGUAAUAUAAAAAGAUUGUAUUAACACAGUGCAAUAUAGAAAGACCUUGUUAGAUUUUAUUGCAAAUUCUGCUUGGUAAUUUAUUAUGAUUAGAAAGCCUAAUUCUUUUGCUUUUCUGGUAAUUAUAGCAAGGUGUUUAUAAGCAGUAGUUCCAGCUGCUUUUCUGUAUAGUCUCAUUAGAUGUGAAAUUAGAAUGCUUUUUAGACUGUUAAUUUUUGCUCAUUACACAGAAUGCAUAAAGCAUUCUGAAAUGCAUGUAUUAUGUGAGGUCAACAUUGUAUUUUGUGAGUUGCUGUGAGAGUUUACAGCAAGGACAAUGAAUUUAGAUCAUCUCCACAGGAAGGCCUCUUUUAAUUUAUUUUGAAGACCACAUUUUUAAAAUCCUCCGCUGGAACAGGGGGUUAACUAAUAUUCCCCAUUCCAUUAAAAAGCAGUUUUAGGUGUCUGUGUGUACAGUCUCCAUUUGACACCUAGGAGUGUCUGGUGACAAUGUCCGUGUCUGAAUAACACAAAAGCCUCCUGAGGAAUCCUGUCUUUGUGUGGUAGUGCUCAGCUGACCAUUGUUCUCCUGGGAAUUUUUACGGAUUGCAAAACCCAGCUGGUCAGAACAAAAGCUUUAGUGACUGACCCAAGACUUCACAGGACAUUUGUGACUGGACACGGAGCUUAACUAAGGAAUCCAAAGCUUACAUCAUAUCAUGCGAUCAUCCUGAUUUAGGCUGUCAGGCUCAAGUUAUAAUAAAAAGCAUUGUCUGAUUCCAUUCUCUUGGAGAGAAUUUAGGCCAGUCAAGAGCCUAUUCUUAUUCAGUUUUGUUAUCUUCACUGUGGAAGAUGGGAUAGGAUAUCUACCUAGAGCAAAAGUGGACCACAAAAUGGCAGGCCAUAAUUAGAAAUCAGAGCUAUUAAAACUAUUAAUACUUACGUGUCUCUGUAUGUUGCAUUGUUAAUGAUAAAUUUUUGCUUUUACAAAUCUGCUAAUUGCUGGAAAUUAUUUGUCUUACGGUUUGGACAAAUGAAUGUCUGUUAGAGGAUGGAACUACCAUCUGUGAGACUUCAUUGGCAAUCUUGCUUUGGGAGGUACUUACUCAUAACACGAAAUCUGAGUGAUUAUUAUGGAACAAACCAGCCUCAUGAACUCUGAUGCAAUAAGGAUCAAUAUUUUAAUGAGAAUACAAAAUCAAACCUGGAUAUUUUAUUGAUGCUUAACUAAACUGGCCAUUAUUCUGACUCUCUGAAUGAGAGUCCACUGAUUUUAUUUGUUCCCAGUCUUUAGUGCCUCUCUGGAGAGGAACUUUGUAUAAGGGCAUGGAGUAAUAGGACAAGGGCAAAUGGCUUUUAAUUGAAAGAGGGGAAGUUGAACCACAGAAUCACAGAAUACACUGAGUUGGAGUGGACCCAUCAGGAUCAUCAAGUCCAACUCCUAUCCCUGCACAGGACCAUCCCCAAGAGGCACACCAUGUGCUUGACAGGAUUGUCCAAAUGCUUCUUGAGCUCUGUCAGGCUGGUGCUGUGACCACUUCCCUGGGGAGUCUGUUCAAUGCCCAAACACCCUCUGGGUGAAGAAGCUUUUCCUAAUAUCCAACCUAAACCUCCCCUGACACAACAGUAGGCCAUGCCCUCUGGUCACCAGAGAGCAGAGAUCAUGGCUCUCCCUCCUCUUCACUCUCAUGAGGAAGCUGUAACUGGGAUGAGGUCUCCCAUCAGUCUCCUCCAGGCUGAGCAAACCAAGUGCCCUCAGCCACUCCUCAUAUGGGUCCCUCACAAGGCCCUUCAACAUCUUUGUUGCCCUUCUUUGGAUGCUCUCUAAUAUCAUUCUUAUUUUGUGGUGACCAAAACACAAAUUAUUCCAUGUUAGAUUAUAUGUAAGAAACAAAUUCUUUACCCUGAGGGGGAUGAAGCACUGUAACAGGUUGCCCAGUAAAAUUUUGGAUGUCUCAUCCCUGGGAAUAUUCAUGGUUAGGCUGAAUGGGGCUGUGAAAAACUUGGUCUAAAGAGAGGUGUCUCUGCCCAUGGCAGCAGGGUUGAAUGAGAUGAUCUUUAAGGUCCCUUCUAGCUCAAAUCCAUCUAGGAUUCUGUGAGCUGAAUUAGGAGCAGCGAAAAGCUUAGGUAACUGUAACCAACACUUGUGCAUUAUCCACAGGUCCAAAGAAACUGAGUGUGAGAUUCAAUCCACAUAAUUUGCACCACAGAUAGGCUGGCUUUUAGAAUUACAGUUAUACCCCUAAAUAUAAGGAUAUAUCUCUACAGGCAAUAGAAAGACAUGGUGCCUUUGAAAGCAGGAGAUCCUGUGUGAGCUGAGAUGACCUGGUUAGAUUGGCCAAAUUGUGUACUAAGAAUUCAGCCAAACCAGAACAACAAAAAGAGCAAACAUAUAAGAAUAGUGAAAACCAUUACUACUUAAAAACAUGCUUUAAAUAUUCUGCUCCUGGAUCGAGCUGGCUUUGUUUGUGAAAGAUCUUUGUUUUUCAGAACAGGCAGUCCUGCAGAAGGAACCUUUUUUAGUUUUGAUAUUAUAUCUAGUUGUGCAAUGGAUUUUUUUGCACCAGUUUCAGUAUCUUUUACCUAAGGAAUGUGAGCUGGAGACAUACAAAGCACCAAGCCAAGAAAAUCCAUCCUGUGUGUGGUGCAAAUGUUGCAUGUCAGAGGGAAGGACAAGAUUGCUCAAAAGCUUUUUUGGUGAUUAAGCGAGGUGUAUGGGUGACAGCCUAAGAAUCCCAGUUGACACUCCACACAAAUUAAGAUGUAUACAUCUUUCAUUAACUGCUUGUCUGGUACUAUAACAGUUGCUAAAGUAACCUAAAAACAGGACUUUAAAUAUUGGAUAAGUACAUCCACUACUUUAAUGAGAUGAAGUAGCUGCCAAAACUCUUGGGAAGGUAAGGGACAAGCACUCUCAGCUCAGCUUUUCAAAAUGUAUUGUUUAUCAUGUGGGGCUUUGUGGUUUAGGAAUUACUACCAAGCCCCAGUUUUCCAUUGGAGUGCCUUUAUGUUUUCUCUUAUGCCAUUUAUGAGCUUUGCUUUCAAGAUACUUUCUUCCUUUUGAGAUUUUGGUUGAAGGAGAAAAUCAAUCAAUCAAGUUACUGAAUUUAUACAAGAGAUUGUGUUUUUAUUAGAAUUAGCUGUCCACUUCACUACAUUUUCAGCUUUGGCCUCUGCAGUUAAGAUGAAAGGGUGGGAUUUGUGCCCUUUUGAGGGACUUGCCUCUUUUUUGAUGUAUUACUCCUCAGCCCAGGAUGUCAGCUGUCUCUUGAAGUACUAGAGUGCUGAGGGGUUUCCUUCAGCAUUUGCCUACAGAACUUGGUGUAGCAUUAGGAUAUAUGGUGAAGGUCCCAGAAAUAAGGCUGUGCUGUCCUUGUACUGUGUUUUUUUGCAAGUUUUCUUUCCUUUCACUAAAGAAAGGCCUAAGAAAUGAACUGUAAUGGUGGUUUGUCAGAUACCAGAUUUGUGUUUGUGCUUGUAGCUUUGGGUGUUGAUUGUCAGUUGGUGAGGAGAUGGCUCUCUGGAGAAAUGGGAUGGGGUUGUGGGGGACAGUACAGUAAUAAUGCUGUAAUAAUGUUACGCCAGGUGCAUUUUGCAUUUUAAUGAGGACUGGGCAUUAAAUCAAAACAAUCCUAGGGUACUGGAGGAUGUCUGAUGAAAGAAAAGGGCCAGUGCCUUGAACUUUUGCUAAAUUGUGUGGAUGAUAAGUAAAGGAUUAGAGAGGAAGACAAAGGAUAGCUAGGACAUGUAUACACAGUUCUCAAUGGGAUAAACACAUAAAUCUUGAUUGGAUUACAAAUUUGAAUAGACAAAUACCGUCUAAUAAAAAUUGUAUUAAAUGGUUACACUAGGUUUGUGAGAUAACCUGUGCUGGCAAAGUGCUCUCAUCCAGCAUCACUUUCAAGGAUAAAUACAAGAACUGCAGAAUUUCUCAGUCCAGGUUAUUAUUCUGCAAGAUUUGCACUAAAAAAAAAUCAGAUGUGAAAGUUUCAGGAAGAACCUUCCUUGAAACAGGACUUGUUUUACUGUAUGCUAGGCUUUGACAAAGGUUUAGAGAAAUGGAUGUUCCUGAAUAGAAAGCUCUUUGCAAAACUCGAAAGCAUUUUUGUAGGAUUGUGAUUCAUUCAAAUUGUCAAUUUCCUCCAGUGUCUUUAGUGCCAGUCCUCAUCAUGUGUUUGAAAAAAAGAGUAGUAUAAGGAUAGUCAUGAUGAAAAGGAAAACGUUAUAGUUUGACAUAGUUGUUCUGCCAGACACGAUCUUUUUGCUGCAAAAGAGCCUCAGAGAAUAUUGCAAUUUCUUUUCAUUGCUUUCCCUGGAAGUCACUGGACAUGAGAGGUAUGGUAGUCACAUAUCUCAAACCCACUGCUCAUCAUUUAUUGCUAUAUACUAAAACUAUGCCAUAAACUCUAAUGCUUUUCCCCAAACCAAAAGAUAUUUGAGAAGUGUUUGGCAAAGAGGAAAGUUUUGAGGAGUCCUUCACUAAACAAUAAAGUUACAAUAGUUUCCAGCUAACACUUUUUUGAUUGGAAGUACAAUUUCAAUAGUGCAGUGAAAUGACCUAAAGAAUUUUCUGUAUAAAAGUUAUAUCGUUAGGGCUCACAAUAGCACCAGGAGUGAAUUUCAAACCUCUUGGGUAUGACUGCACAGCUGAGGGUGACAGAGAUUCUCUACUGUUUCUGAACUGGAUAAUGCUCUCAUAAAGCAGCAUCCAGUAAAGUGUGCAGAUCUCAUGUGGAAGCAAUAUAGCCAAGUGCUGAGGCUGAACAGAUGGCUCACAAAUGCAGAAGAAGCUGCGGUCAGCAAAUUCUUAGUAGUUGCUUCAAAUAUAGUUUCAUGACAAAGUUACUGCAAGGCAAGCAGGAGUAUGGAUUUCCAGCAAGUUUAUGAACUGCCCAUGUGCACACUCUCACUGUCCAGCAAACCACUCUCGAAGAAUGUGCUGACAGCUGAAAUCUAGUUGGAGAUGUCUUUAUUAGUGAACUAACCUGAGAACACACAUAUUUCCACACAGGAGACUCAAUCAUCUACAUGUAAAAUAACUUGAAUGUUUUCUGACAAGUUUUUGGCCCAUUUGACCAGGAUUCUUUCUAAGCACCCACAGCCCAGGGAUCAUCCCGUUAAAUCAGUGUACAUGGCUGCUCUCUUCUGGAGGCUAUAAGAGAAUUUUAAAGUGUGAAUCCAUGCUCAGCUCUAGAAAGUGAUUCCAAGUGUGCGUAGUUGACAUGGCGUAGUUUGUGUACUGAGGGUAGUGAGUAAUGUCUCACAAGCACUGUCAGAAAAUGCCUUCAGACUCUUCUUCAGAUGUUGCAGGUUGUCCCUGUUGAUCUUAUGGAAGUGUAUAAUCUAGACAAAAGAUGAUAUAUUGUCUGUGAAGAAAUCUGGUUAGCUGCUAGUUAAUGCAUUAAAAAAUAAGGCUCAUAGAGUUCAUGGAAAUGGAAACCUUUGGAAACUUUUAAAUCAUUUUUCUAAAGGAAUGAUGGCUCACAGUCUAGAGUGAAGCCUUGACAUAGCCCAGAAAGCCAACCAUAUCCUCAGGUGCAUCAAAAGCAGCAUGACCAACAAAGCAUGGGAGGUGUUUCUCCUGCUCUAUUCUGCUCUGGUUAAGGAAGACUGAGGGAGCUGGAGCUGUUUGGCCUGGAGAAGAGAAAGCUCCAGGAAGACCUUUGUGACUUUGUGACUUUUUGACUUUUUAAAUACUCAAAGGGUAUUAUUUUAAUAUAGGGUAUUAAUAUUAAUAAAUUAUAGGAUAUUAAAAUUAAUAAAGGGUAUUUUUUAUUACAAGGAUGUGGACAGACUUUUUAGUAAGACCUGCGGCAAUAUGUCAAAGAGGAAUAGUUUUAAGGUAAAAGGGGGUAGAUUUAGACUAGAUAAAAGGAAAAUUUUUUUUACAGUGGAGAUGAUGAGGCACUGGCACAGAGAGCUGGCAGCUGCCCCAUCCCUGAAGAGACUCAGGGUCAGGUUGGAUGGGACUCUGAACAAACUGAUCUAGUGGAAGACGUCUGUGAUCAUUGUAGGGAGAUUGGCCUAGAUGGCCUCUCAAAAUCCUUUCCAACCCAAGUGGAUUCUGUGAUAUGAAUAUUGAUCAUACUCCCCAUGAGAAAGCUCUCUGGAUUCUCUGGUUUAAUCCCCUGAACUUGUGCAAACCCCUCCAUCCCUGUCAAUCCAGUGGAUGAAUAAUUUUAACAGCUGCUGUUCUCUUCUGAUCAAGGAUGUAGGGCCUGGCAGCAGCAGCAUAACUUUACACAUGGAACCUCAUCUUGACCAAAGCUUCUUCUACAUCUCCACUUCAAUAUCGUAAAAACCUUCAUUUGGCCUAACAAUCAAAUCUCUCCUGACUGCAUUAUCUCCAGUUCACUGACCCAAGAAAAUCGAUUAUUUCUAUUAAACACAAAUAUUUUCAAUAGGGAUUUUCUACAUACUGUGCAAAACUUCAGCAUUUUGCAUAUAAUUUAAAUGUUCUAUAAUAUUUUGUUGAUCUUUCUUUAUUUGCUCUGUUGAGACCAAGCAUGAAAAAUGCCUUUUUCACAACAUCUGCAUCAUUAGAAAACUCAAAUUAUUUUAAGGAAGUAAAAUCUUCCCAUCCCAAACAGCAGUAAAAGUCCACUUUGUCACAGCAAUAUCCCAGUGAUGAAUGUUCAAGGGCAAAGCUUUGAUUAAUGACAGCUGCAUUUUGGAUUUCACUGAUGGUGAUUUUGUACCUCCUUCCAGACAGCUGCACACUUACUGCAAGUAUCUAACUAGACAUAUUUAUUAUGCCAGUUUGGUUAAGUAGUUGUAUAAAUGAAGCAUAUGGAUACUUGUAUAAUUUGCAUCUGCAGUGUGUGACUAUUAUGUGAAGUAGGCUUCUAGGAGAAGAGUAUCCAUCCUUCUGUUGAGAUAUUUCUAUUUUGUUAAAUUAAGGAGGUCUCUGAUUAGGUUCCAUAGAAAGGAAAUACUAGUCUGUUAAAGGUCCUGAGGGGUGAAGAGAUGCAGUUGUUCUCUAUUGAAAAGCACAUUAAUACACUGAAAGUUGUCCAGUAAUUUCAGCUGCCCUUCCAAAGUGUUCAGUUUAGCAAAAAAUUAGCAAAUUUUGGGUGAGCACAGCAAACUGUAAAGCAAGCAUACUCACUUCAAUUAAGUGUUCUCUUUUUUAUAAAUGUGAAAGACUAGUCAGCAGUUGUGCUACUGGAGUUAUUGUGUAGGAUUGCAACUGUAAAUAGGAUAUUGUGACAACUGGGUGGGAGUAAAGCUGAGGUGUGACUUCUAAAAUGACUGGUUUCACCUGUAAGUUGUUACUGUAAUUAAUUGAAGGGGUGUUUGUGCAGUGAUUGUUGGGAACUGGUAUUUUGCAUGCAAGCAAAGCUGUAGAGAAACCAUCAAUAUGAUCUGUAACACAUAUUCUGACUAUUUUAUUGUACAGAUGUUAUGUCAGCUCUAAAUUGAGUUACAUGAUGUGAGGUAUGUCUUCCUCCAUUUUAUGCCCAGGCAUGUCCUGCAAAAUAGAAGCUCCCAUCUCCAUUUCUAUUACUCUCCUCUACCAAUUUUUUAAAAUAUUAGGUUUUUUAAGCUAUCCAUUGUAAACUAUGUAUUUUAUACACAAGACAAAAAGUAAUAUAAUAAGGUUGAUUAUACACAUUGGUAGAUACCAAACAGGCUUCAGGUCCUCGAUGUGCCACAUUCUCGUACUUCGUCUCUGCCUGAGCAAGGAUUCCAGCUCUCCUUGGCCUGUCUGUGUUUGCUUCCUCCUUGCCCUAGGUGUUUUCCCCCACCACCUGCUGUUACCUGCAGCAUAAAUUCUGAUUUACCUUGAGGAAACAGAGCAAGAGUCUCACCACAAAAAAGGAACCUCAAUUGUUUUGUGACUGUAGUCAGCAGUGUUGCAAUGCAGAGAAGGAUGCACAGACAGAUUUAUGGCUUCAGAAUUUAUUUCUCUUGUGAGUUGUUACUAGCAGGUAAGGUUCAAAAACCACAUGCUCAAACACUAAUUAUUUUUGUUUAGGGACUGCAGUCAUGAGGGUAGAAAAAUCCUAUAAGGUGGUGCUAGGAGUUUUACACAUCACUGCAGCAAACAAGGUUUUGAGCUAGAGAAAAUGCCCUACUCCCACAUCCUCAGCAAAUUCCAACAAAUUAGUGUUAAUUUUGUCUUUUUCCUUCAUGUACUAUUUAAGUACGUCCUCUUCACAAGCUAAUAAACCAUAGUGGUGAUAGUGUCUAAAAUGAAAGUAUGUUAAGAAAUAUUUUACUUCCUAUUGUUUUUUGUUCUUUGUGUACAAUACACUGUGCUCCUUAGGACAAGAAAUUAAUGCAGGUGAUGCAGUUUUUUUUGGGGGGUGUUACUCUCGAGGGGAUAGUUUAUACAUACAAAUUUCUUUUUUCCUGGUUGGCGGGGGCCGGGAACAGUGAGUAAGAGCUGUCACCAGGUGGCACCAUUAACCUAAGUUAUGUUUCUGUGAGGCUACUGCAAUGAAGUUUAUGUUCAAAAGAAAUUUAGUAGAGAGAUUGCUCUUUUCACCUUCCUUCAAAGUAAACACACAGCACAGAGAAUAGGCCAGAUACUUCUCUUCACUGACACAUUUUAGAUUCUUUAAUGCAUUUGCAGUGCUAUAAUGUGGUGAAAAUUCUUCCCUGCUUGGUGUAUGGUAAGUAAAAUGCAUGCCUAUAUUUCUCCAGAAAACCCUUGCCUGCCUAAAAGUUUUGCAAUAUGUUUCACAUCUGGUGCAUCCAAAAGCAAAAUUUCCCCUAGUGAAAUCCCAGAACAAGACCAGGGAAUUUUCAGAUUAAAAUACUCGUGCCUAAAUAUUGUUAGAACAUUUUAAGACUAUUCUAUGAAGCUAAGCAGUAAGAAAUCGAUUUUCUUUACUUACAGUGAGUAGCACCAUGGGCAGUGCAGGGGAGAUGAUGAGCCCCAUCCCUGGCUGCUGUUCAGAAGUGGUGCUGGUGGUGCCGACCCCCUCUGCAUCAGAACUGCUGCAGCCUCCAUCAGCUUGUGCUGCUUCUUGGCGCUCACAGGGUGGUGUAGCUGUCCUCUGAAGCAAGGAACAAAACUUUUUCCCUUGCAGACAUUUAAAUAGCUUGAGUUGAAAAGUUAGAGUUUGUUUUGAAAGGGUCAGGUUGCUUUUUAAAUGGCUUUCAGUGAAUUUUAUCAGCUUGAUCCUCAGAUGGUAAACAUCAUGGUGUUUUUUCUGAAUAGUGAUAUUAACCUACUGGCAGGAGACUAGGGUGGCCCUUGGGAAACAGCAAAUUCUUGUCUUCCAAUCAGGUGUUAAAGAAAUGCAGACCAUCAACCAGUUCUUUCUGAAUAUGCUGAAGUAUUUAAAGUGAGCAAUGUUUUAGCUAGCAACUCUGGGAUGCUUUAAAGCGUGGUUGUAGGGUGCAGGUUGUCAUUCCUACUUAGCUCAUAAAAGUAAGCAGGAAACCAGAGAUUUAUACUUUAAAGGAUUAUUUCAUUAAAUUUUUAUGAGAGUGAAACCAUGAAAUAGAUAUUGUUCAUGUGAACUGUGAAUUGUAAGGUCACAUCAAAGCAGUAGGUUGAUUAUACUGGGGCGUGUGCUCCCGUUUCAGUGAUUUCAAGGGCGUUACUGGGUAGCAUUUCAUUGUACUAAACUGCAAGUCAUGCUGUAAUUUAAGUUAUACAUAUUUUAUGUGACUUUUUUACCUUUACUUGCUUCUCUGGUCAGCUGUGAAGGUUACUAAUUAUGCAGUCUUUGUGUCAGUGUCCAGUCCUUGUGUUGAACAGAGGCAGUAGAGUCUGUCCUUGGGGAUACUAAAACCCUGAGUGGACUCAGCUCUGAGGAACUCGAUCUGUUAUGCCUGCUUGAGCAGGGAGGUUGUAGUAGGUGUUCUCCAGAAGUGCCUUCCAAUCUGCCACUCUGGCUCUGUGUCUAGCAGAAGAAAACUCAUGGCAAAUAGAAUUUAGGAAAUUCUCUAAUUAAGCCUGUGAAAUGCCCCAUGUGGAAACUGCAGAACUGUUCUCAGGUAGACUCCUUGCUGGUAAAGAUAAGAGCUAUAUUCAGAGCAUGGGAAAAGAACAAUUCUCUUGAAAUUUACAUUUUGUUGCAGCUUCUUACUGAUGUUUACCCAUUGCAAUGUAAUAGACACUUAAAUUCCAAUUUGUCUUCAUCCCCUAGCAAAGCAGAAAAUGUGCAUGGUGAAUCUUUCUACUGGGUGCUGAGCAGUUGUGGAAAUAUUUUUAAAUUUUUUUUUUUAAUUAGUCAGUUAGUGAAUUAGGAUUUGGGUUAGAAGGAAGAAGGAUUCAGCAACACAGUAUCUUAAAGAAAAGUGCCAUUAAGGUUCUGACAAAAAUAUUGUCAGUUCUGAACCAUCCUGUGUGUUCACUCAAACCUUUUCAACUUUCAGUGUGCUGACUCAGUGGGCAUUUUCAAUAGCAGCAGUAGCAGUAUUAUUACUCUAAGGAAGAAAGUGAUGCAGGACUUGUAGGGAGAGCAAGAUAACCAAGUAGAAUUUUUUUGACAAAAGAGGGUAUUGCCUGAAAGAGUGUCUCCCUGAUGUUGAUUUUAUUGGUUUAUGUAAUAAAAGGCAAAUGGAAACAGUGACAUUAUCAAAUGCAUCUGUCAUCCAAAAAAAUGUUCUCUUUUUUUCACUGUUUGAAGGAUCCAAGUGAGAUAUCAGGAAUAUUACUCCUGAGUCAUGAUAGGACUCAUUUAUUGUUUUCCUGUUUCACUUUUUAAUGGAGACAUGGAUGUGACCGCAAAAUGGAAAUAAAUCUGAUAUGUAGAUAUCGUUAUCUAGAAUGUUGCUUUCAGUAGAAUCCUCAGCACUAUAAAGCCUGUAUAUCAUGUAAUAACAUAAAUCCUAAAUUCCUCGGUGUCAUAAAACACUAGCAAUACUUCAAACCAUUUCUUUUUACUGUUUUCCUGGGGGGUUUUAAUUUUUGUAUUUCCUCUUUAUGUAUUUCUCCACAUUAUUUCACAUUUCUGGUUGCAAUUGCUUUGCCUUUUUUUUAAAAAUUAAUUUUCUGUAGUCAGUAGCAAGUCAUUGAUUUUGUACAGGCAUCAUCUGGAUUUCCAGCAAGUACUGCAAGGAUCCAAAUAUUUUCUUGGGUGUGAUGCUGCAGGCAGCUACCUGCGCUUGUAACUGAUUCUGUUCCUGACAGCUUUAAAUUAUUGCUGUUUGCUUGCCUGCGAGCCUUCACUGAAACUGAAAUUCUUGCACAAGCCCAGAUAUAUCAGGAAAAAUGUGGGCAAAGCAUAUGAAGAAAACAAUUUAUCCAUCACUGAGAGUCAAGCAGUGCAUAACAAUCUUUCAGCAGCUGGUCAAUGGUGAACAGGGGCAGUGGCCAUUUCAUAAUGUGUGAUUUGGGGUCAGAAUGUCUAUAGGACCUGUAGACCUCCUAUUUGCUUUUCAGAAGUAUAUCUGCACUGAUAUCUGCACAUAUAGGCAACUGAUGAAUAGUUUAUAUUUCUUUUUCUGUUAGGAGUUUGCAUUCAGGUUAUUAUUUAGACAUUGCUGAUCUGAAGUGUAGCAGAACUGACAGGUGGUUGUUUUGACUGGAAUGGAGCAGAUCUGGUUUCAACUAACCAUAAACUCAAAUGGGGGGUUUUCAGUAAUCUUCACCUGGAUGAAAUUUUUUGUGAGUGAUUUUUCUUCUUAAUUUCUUUUUUAAAUGAAUUGACAAUAGCUAAAAUUAUUUAUAAAUUACAUUCAUGCUUGGCAAGGACUGCUGACUGAAAAAUAACCAUAGAAUAUAUCACACUGAAGGGACCCAUAAGGCUCAUUGAGUCCAAUACCCUGCUCCUCACAGGACUACCUGAAGAAAACCAGAUGACUAAGAGCAGCAUCCAGACAUUAACUCUGACAGGCUUGGUACUCCGGCCAUAGAAUCACAGAAUCAUAGAAUGUUAGGGUUUGAAAUGGACCUUAAGGACCAUCUAGUCCCAACACUUCCUGCCAUGGGCAGAGAUGACUUCUGCUAAACCAGAGGUUGCUCAAGGCUUUAUUCAACCUGGCUUUGAAUUCUACAGCCUCCCUGACCAACUUGUUCCAGUGGCUUACCACCCUCACAGUAAAAAACUUCCUCCUAUUAUCUAACCUAAACUUGCCCUCUUUCAAUUUGUAAAUUUCAGUUUCUUUUCUGGAUAUUUGUGGGAAAACAUAAAGGCAUUUUAGAUGUAUCUCUGGACUAGGCAGUAGCUGGCUAAUAGUUUCCUGUUUGGGGGUAUGGAGAUGCACGUAUCCGCUUGUUUUCAGUGCAUGGUACUGACCAAGCUACCAAGUGACUGGCACAGGUUUCCAUUCUGGCUGUAUUCUGAAAUUUGAAUUUUCAGUCAUUUUCUUCUCUCUAGGUCAGUUAACCCAACUUAACUGAAUUCUGUCAACUGCUCUACUCUCUCUACAAGUAAAGCAAAAUGCAGCAAUGCCUGACUCAUGCUUGUGUACCACAUUUUUUAAAAUAGGUCUAAAUUAUCAUAUUUUUCUGUUUUGUUUUACUGGCUACAUAUCAGAUACCCAAGAACUUUCUGGGAGAACACACUCCUAAAAUUUUCACAGGAAUCUCUGUGGUUCUAAUAUCAUUGGCUUGCACUGAGUCUUAAUUGAUUAAGUCCUAAAUCAAGCUUGAAAUGCUGAUUACCCAAAUGACAGUGAAAUCAUUUUUCCAUGACUACAGCUAAAGGAACUUAUAGUAUAAUAUAGUAUAAGUAAGUUAUAAUUAAUAAUAACAAUAUCGUAUAAUAUAUAGUAUAAUAAUUAUAGUAUAAUGUAAGGAGCGAUGGAGAGUCUGGCAGAGGCAGGCUCUACAGAAGAUGCACAGAAAGGUGAGCAUAGUGGUGUUUGGACAUGUUUUUAUAAGAUCUAAAUAAAUUUAAGCUUAUAAAUAUGCCAAGGAGCUGUAUCUUUCUUAUGUAAGUUAUUAAUUAGUUUGAGUGGUGGAAAAGGAAAUUCUAGCUCAGUUACAGUAGCACACAACUAUUUUCAGUGUAGUUGGGAAGCACUGACUGUGCACUGAGGGGACAGUGCAAAGUCAGUCUCUUCUCUGCUGCUGCUGUUCCUUUUACACCUGAAAACUGUGUCAUGGGGAACCCCUGGAGCUUUUUCUUCAGAAAACUACUCUGAAUUAGAUUCCUUCCUGUGCCAGCAGACUUCCUUUCAAUCAAGGAAAAUAUUCUACUGUCCUUGAACUGUUAACCUGUGAGAUGGAAUAGCCAGCUCAGUGUGUUUGUCUAAGUCCAGUUCUCAAGAGCAGGGGCUUAGCUGACCUCCUGGCCAGGACAACUGCUUCUUACCUGCUCUUGACACUAUUUGUUCUCUUUUACUUGCAGCUCUGCUACAACUGACAUUUUCUAUGAUUCUAGCUCUGAAUGGCCUGAAUACACAAACCCUUCUGGUUGUAGUUCACAGCAAAGGUCAACACUAAAAUUGAAAAUAAAUUAAUUUGGCAUAGAUGCUUGUGUCUCUGCUGUACUGCCCAGGUGGGAGUCAGGGGUGGGUGAACGUGUUCAUUAAAAGAGAUUCCUCCCCAGACUGGAUGUGUUAGUGAAACCCUAACUAUGAUGCUGUGUUUGCCAUGUAGGUAGCAGGUGGGUGAUUCUGUAGAAGCUUGGUAACAAUAAUCACAUCUGUACAGCGGUGGAUGCUUUCUAUGCAUAGUGUUUAUUUGAUUGCUUUUUUUUCUUCAGACUUGUCUUCCUCUGUACAUCUGUACUCAAUACAUUGUAUUUGGUAAACUCAGACCUAUCAAAUGAGAGGGGAAAGAUUUUUCUCUGGGGUUAGUUGGUUCUAACAUUCAAAAUGUCAUUUGGAAAUAUGUCAUCUAAGUGUCUCUGAUGUUUAACAACUUGUCUUUAGCUGAAAAACUAGUUUCAUGGAGAAACCUAGAGAAUGAACACAGAAAAGCAGAAUAGAAAAAUUCUGGAAAAUAAGAGGCAGUAUUGCUCUUCCUUUCAUUCUUCUUGUCUGCUUCUGGGUAUUAGUUAGAUUAAGUAAGCUUAAAAGACAGGAGACAAGAAAGUAAAUACAUCCAAAUUUCAUACUUACAUUAACGGAACAAUACCCUGAAAGGGAAAUCAUGCCAAAAGUUGCAUCUGUGCCUUUUGCAAGAUGGUGAUAAAAAAGCAAAAGAAAUCUCUCAAUUUUCAAGAUAGCUUCAAAAAGAAAGCAACCAGAAAUGGAACCACCUCCCACACUUCAUUGCCAGCAGCUCUUGCAUGUGAUGUGCCUGGAUGCCCAAAAGAUUAGCCAGUCUCAUCCACCUGGCCCAUGUCACAAGGAUCAAAGACAUUUCUCCAUCUACAAACAUAAGCUCCUGCUCUCAAAGUGAAGAGGACAAAUUGAAAGUUAUAGUCUGAGAAGAUUGAUAGGGACAUCAGACUCUUGAGGGGGCACAGUCCUCUCAUGUGGCAAUGCAUUACGAGCAACAAAAAAGCUUUGCAGGAGCUUCGCAGGGCUCAGUCCCAUUCCUGAGGUUGCCAAAUGGGCUUUCAUGUGGCAUGGCAGUAAGAACCUUGCUCUUUUAGUGAGGAUGAGAAAUAAAUAUUCUAAAUGGGAGGAAGUUUCACAAUCAGCAACAAAAAGUUCUUCUACUCUGGUAUUUUUCAGAGUUCAACUUCAGCCAUCAGCCUGUACCCGAGGACCAUUACUGAUCACUACAGCUGCAUCACUUGCACUGUGGAACUUUUUGACAUCUAGGAGAACUCUGCUAUAAAGAAUGUGGACAUGAAGACCAGCUUGUGUAUUUGUGUCCCUGAAUGUCUUCCACUUGAGGAAAACCUGUGUGCUAUUGGAUAAGGUCCUGAAACAUAAUUUAAAAGCAUCACCAGCAGUAAAAACCUAUCAUGAACAGGGAGAAAUUCUUCUUGAACAUUAUUCAUUUGAAUCAUGGAGCUGUAUAGAAGCAGAUGUUGAUAUGCUGCAGCUGACGUGUGACAGUGCCAAAUGGACAUCCUUUGAGACGUCAGUUCUAACUUCCCUAAGUCAUCACUACUACAUCUCUUAGUAGGACAUAUUUUUUAGGGAAUCACUCAGUAUGUGUAUCAGCUUUCCCAGUCCUAAAUUUUUUUAAGCUGCAUAUUUCUUUCAGAGUGAAAAUUUGAGACAGUGUAGGCUGUGAAUUGCUGUGAAGACCAAAGCCACAUUCUUCACUUUUAAGGGACUGGUGUGCUGGCAUACAGAAGUCUAAUGUUCCAUGCACUUUAUGAUUUUCCACUUUAUUGAAGAAAUAAUUCUAUUUGUAGUUUUAUGAACUUGCAGUCUUGAACACUGCAGGUCACAGUUUUGUCUAUAGGCUGUUCCAUCUUGAAUGAAGAAAUACUAUAUGUUGUUAAACCCCUGGUUUCCAAGAGUUUGUACAAAGAAAAAAAUGAUGUUUGACUUACAAAAUGUAAUUUUUUAAAAGUUGAACAUUUAAUAAUAAAUUUAUUUUUUU